CCUACGGGAGGCAGCAGUGAGGAAUAUUGGACAAUGGGCGCAAGCCUGAUCCAGCCAUGCCGCGUGCAGGAUGACGGUCCUAUGGAUUGUAAACUGCUUUUAUACGAGAAGAAACACUCCGACGUGUCGGAGCUUGACGGUAUCGUAAGAAUAAGGAUCGGCUAACUCCGUGCCAGCAGCCGCGGUAAUACGGAGGAUCCAAGCGUUAUCCGGAAUCAUUGGGUUUAAAGGGUCCGUAGGCGGUUUAAUAAGUCAGUGGUGAAAGCCCAUCGCUCAACGGUGGAACGGCCAUUGAUACUGUUAAACUUGAAUUAUUAGGAAGUAACUAGAAUAUGUAGUGUAGCGGUGAAAUGCUUAGAGAUUACAUGGAAUACCAAUUGCGAAGGCAGGUUACUACUAAUUGAUUGACGCUGAUGGACGAAAGCGUGGGUAGCGAACAGGAUUAGAUACCCUGGUAGUCCACGCCGUAAACGAUGGAUACUAGCUGUUGGGAGCAAUCUCAGUGGCUAAGCGAAAGUGAUAAGUAUCCCACCUGGGGAGUACGUUCGCAAGAAUGAAACUCGAAAUGAAAUUGACGG
rnacentral:rRNA from 1 species